rnacentral:rRNA from 1 species
GAUGAACGCUAGCUACAGGCUUAACACAUGCAAGUCGAGGGGCAGCGGGAUUGAAGCUUGCUUCAAUUGCCGGCGACCGGCGCACGGGUGAGUAACGCGUAUCCAACCUUCCGUACACUCAGGGAUAGCCUUUCGAAAGAAAGAUUAAUACCUGAUGGUAUCUUAAGCACACAUGUAAUUAAGAUUAAAGAUUUAUCGGUGUACGAUGGGGAUGCGUUCCAUUAGGUAGUAGGCGGGGUAACGGCCCACCUAGCCAACGAUGGAUAGGGGUUCUGAGAGGAAGGUCCCCCACAUUGGAACUGAGACACGGUCCAAACUCCUACGGGAGGCAGCAGUGAGGAAUAUUGGUCAAUGGACGAGAGUCUGAACCAGCCAAGUAGCGUGCAGGAUGACGGCCCUAUGGGUUGUAAACUGCUUUUAUAAGGGAAUAAAGUGAGUCUCGUGAGACUUUUUGCAUGUACCUUAUGAAUAAGGACCGGCUAAUUCCGUGCCAGCAGCCGCGGU